rnacentral:rRNA from 1 species
AUGGCUUCGGCUAUCACUUUGGGAUGGACCUGCGGCGCAYUAUCUUGUUGGUAGGGUAACGGCCUACCGAGGCUGUGAUGCGUAUCCUAGUUGAGAGACUGAUCGGCCACCAUGGAACUGAGACACGGUCCAUACUCCUACGGGAGGCAGCAGUAGGGAAUCUUCCACAAUGGGCGCAAGCCUGAUGGAACAWCACCGCGUGAGUGAAGAAGGGUUUCGACUCGUAAAGCUCUGUUGUUAGAGAAGAACGUGCGUGAGAGCAACUGUUCACGCAGUGACGGUAUCUAACCAGAAAGUCACGGCUAACUACGUGCCAGCAGCCGCGGUAAUACGUAGGUGGCAAGCGUUAUCCGGAUUUAUUGGGCGUAAAGCGAGCGCAGGCGGUUUGAUAAGUCUGAUGUGAAAGCCUUUGGCUUAACCAAAGAAGUGCAUCGGAAACUGUCAGACUUGAGUGCAGAAGAGGACAGUGGAACUCCAUGUGUAGCGGUGGAAUGCGUAGAUAUAUGGAAGAACACCAGUGGCGAAGGCGGCUGUCUGGUCUGCAACUGACGCUGAGGCUCGAAAGCAUGGGUAGCGAACAGGAUUAGAUACCCUGGUAGUCCAUGCCGUAAACGAUGAGUGCUAGGUGUUGGAGGGUUUCCGCCCUUCAGUGCCGCAGCUAACGCAUUAAGCACUCCGCCUGGGGAGUACGACCGCAAGGUUGAAACUCAAAGGAAUUGACGGGGGCCCGCACAAGCGGUGGAGCAUGUGGUUUAAUUCGAAGCUACGCGAAGAACCUUACCAGGUCUUGACAUCUUGCGCCAACCCUAGAGAUAGGGCGUUUCCUUCGGGAACGCAAUGACAGGUGGUGCAUGGUCGUCGUCAGCUCGUGUCGUGAGAUGUUGGGUUAAGUCCCGCAACGAGCGCAACCCUUGUUACUAGUUGCCAGCAUUCAGUUGGGCACUCUAGUGAGACUGCCGGUGACAAACCGGAGGAAGGUGGGGACGACGUCAGAUCAUCAUGCCCCUUAUGACCUGGGCUACACACGUGCUACAAUGGACGGUACAACGAGUCGCGAACUCGCGAGGGCAAGCUAAUCUCUUAAAACCGUUCUCAGUUCGGACUGCAGGCUGCAACUAGC